rnacentral:tRNA from 1 species
GGUUCUAUGGUGUAAUUGUUAGCACUCUGGAUUCCCAAUCCAGUGAUCCAAGUUCAAAUAUCAGUAGGACCU